CCUACGGGUGGCUGCAGUGAGGAAUAUUGGUCAAUGGACGAGAGUCUGAACCAGCCAAGUAGCGUGAAGGAUGACUGCCCUAUGGGUUGUAAACUUCUUUUAUAUGGGAAUAAAACGUUCCACGUGUGGGAUUUUGUAUGUACCAUAUGAAUAAGGAUCGGCUAACUCCGUGCCAGCAGCCGCGGUAAUACGGAGGAUCCGGGCGUUAUCCGGUUUUAUUGGGUUUAAAGGGAGCGUCGGUGGAUUGUUAAGUCAGUUGUGAAAGUUUGCGGCUCAACCGUAAAAUUGCAGUUGAAACUGGCAGUCUUGAGUACAGUAGAGGUGGGCGGAAUUCGUGGUGUAGCGGUGAAAUGCUUAGAUAUCACGAAGAACUCCGAUUGCGAAGGCAGUUCACUGGACUGCAACUGACACUGAGGCUCGAAAGUGUGGGUAUCAAACAGGAUUAGAUACCCGGGUAGUC
rnacentral:rRNA from 1 species